AUUGAACGCUGGCGGUAGGCCUAACACAUGCAAGUCGAGCGGAUGAAGGGUGCUCGUCCCUGGAUUCAGCGGCGGACGGGCGAGUAAUGUCUAUGACUCUUCGCAGUAGCGUGGUCUCACGUGCGAAAACGGUCCCUACUACUGCAUACGUCCUGACGGAGAGAGUGAGGGAUCCUCGGACCUUACGCUUCCAGAUGAGACUAGGUCGGAUUAGCUAGUUGGUGGGGUAAAGGCCUACCAAGGCGACGAUCCGUAACUGGUCUGAGAGGAUGAUCAGUCACACUGGAACUGAGACACGGUCCAGACUCCUACGGGAGGCAGCAGUGGGGAAUAUUGGACAAUGGGCGAAAGCCUGAUCCAGCCAUGCCGCGUGUGUGAAGAAGGUCUUCGGAUUGUAAAGCACUUUAAGUUGGGAGGAAGGGCAGUAAGUUAAUACCUUGCUGUUUUGACGUUACCAACAGAAUAAGCACCGGCUAACUUCGUG
rnacentral:rRNA from 1 species